GUUUCCAUAGUGUAGUGGUUAUCACGUUCGGCUAACAACCGAAAAGUCCCAGGUUCGAAAACGGGUGGAAACA